GCAGUACACAUCAAAAUGUUAUUGAUCAGCAAGUAUGAUGCAAUGAACUACUGUGAUUACUUUGAUGUGUGGGGACCAGGAACCUAUGUCGCAGUGACAUCAGCAACUCCUAGUGGACCUUCUGUGUAUCCAGUAAGCCCCUGCUGUGAUGCAGAGGCAUCCCAAGAUCCUUUGAAGAUAGGUUGUUUUGUAACUGCAGACAGCCCUUCAGAUAAUAUCCAGUGGUUUCUCGGAUCAUCUCAAAUCUCUAGUGGUGUGACACAAUACCCUGAAGUGUACAGCAAUGGUCGAUACUCACUCAGCUCUGUUUUAAACCUUAAGUCAGAUGACUGGAAAGCUGGAUCAUAUGAAUGUCAUUUUGGGUCACUGAAUAAACAAGUGAAAAAACGAGAAGAAUGCAAGGAAGAUUGUCCAAACAAAAAUCCAAAGAUAGAGUUAUAUAUGGCAUCUUGUGAACCAGAUGAUCCAAAAAAUAUGUACUUAUUUUGCGACUUGUCAGACUUUGCACCAGAAGACAUAGAAGUGGCAUGGUUUAAAGGCACUUCAACUGUGACAGACUUCAUCACCAUUGGAAAUGUAACAGAAGUAUAUAACUGCUCCUUCCACACUUCUAGCAAAUUAAAGAUUGUUCCAGAGGAGUGGAGCAAUGGGAUGGAGUAUAAGUGCUUAGCUACACAUUCUAAACAAUCAGUUGAAAAAAAAAUCAGUUCAUGCACAGCUUGUCCAAAACCAAGCCCUACAAUUGAACUGAUGAAAUCAUCAUACAGAGAUUUCUUCACGAAAAAAAAUGGUACUCUCACAUGCAAUGUCACUUCAUUUUUGAAGAAUACAAUAGUAAUCCUGAAACAAGAUAAUGAUGAAUUAGUAAAAAAACAAUUGAGCAGUUCUGAAGCAACAGGCAAUGGGACAUGGAAUGUACAUAUUUCAUUUGACAUAUCAAAAGCGGACUGGAGAAAGAAGACCUUCAUCUGUGAGGCACAGCACACAUGUAAAACAGACAAGAAAACCUUAAAUCCUGAAGAAACAAAAGAACAGAAGAAGCCAUCUGUGAAGAUUCAUAAAGCUGUGUCAUCCAUCUUCAACACCUUAAUAUGUAUAAUAUCUGGAUAUUAUCCUGAAGAAAUAUUUGUGAAGUGGGAACAGAAUGGUCAUCUAGUCAACACAGAAGCUUUCAAUAACCCAGCAGUUUAUGAUAAAGCAAGCAAGUCAUAUACAAUGCAAAGCAUUCUUCUUAUCCCAAUAGAAGAUGUUAGAGAAACAUCCAAUUGGUCCUGCAUGGUUGGUCAUUCUGCACUGAGUGAAAUGAUGUCAGACUCAACAGAAGUGAAGCCAUUUGCACAACCCAAGGUCCCACCAACUGUAGCUAUUUCAGAACCUUCGGCUGAUGAGAACAAUGAACAACGUUUAAAUAUUGACUGCAUUGCCUAUGGGUUCUUUCCCAAGAACAUUGCUAUUCAGUGGUUGUCACAAGAGCCAAAAAAGCUUCUCGUUAAAACAUUCGAUGUAGAACUAGGAGAAAGUGGAACAUACAGCAUCAAAAGUAUAUUGAAUCUCUCUAAGGAAGAAUGGCAUGAGGGGCAGUUCACCUGCGAUGUGAAGCAUGAAGCUACAAAGACACGAAUACUCAGGAACACCACUAACACUCAUGCCUGUUCUGAGUACAUGGCGGCACCAGAUGUCUACACAAUCAAACCUUCAUAUGAAGACAUUGUGAUUAACAGAAAAGCAACACUCACUUGUCUUGUGGUUGGAUAUGAACUGGACUCUGUAAACAUAACUUGGACAGAAAAUGACAGCCUUAUCACUGAUGGAAUUAGUAGCAAUACAGAGAUACAUUCGAAUGGAACUGAAACAGUGAAGGGUUUGUUAGGAAUCCCCGCCGAUGACUGGCUGAAUGGCAGGAAAUAUUCAUGCAAAGUGGCACAUUCAGCUCUGCCUACACCAAAACUGAUGGAUAUGUGGUUUGAAGAAGGAUCAACAGAAACUAAAAGCAAGACAAGAGCUCCAGAGGUGAACCUCCGACUGCCUACACCUGAAGAGGUAAAAAAAGAUGAAAACCUUACCCUGAUUUGCCUCAUAGAAAAUUACUUCCCAGAUUAUAUUUUUGUUCAGUGGAGGGAAAACAACACUAGAAUACCUUCUUCAAACUACCGGAACAGUGAUAGCUAUUUUAACCAGAAAACCAAUGCUUACACAAUGGACAGUAAACUAGUGGUGCAAACUAAAGACUGGGAUGAAGAAAAAACGUAUACCUGCAUGGUCAACCACAUAUCCUCAACCUGGACGAUAUUUAAAGAGGGAAAUAAGCACACUGGUAAACCAACUACAGUGAAUCUCUCUGUUUAUUUAACAGAAGGGAAACGUGAAUGCCAUGUAUAGUGUCUGCUCAAACUGAAAAAAAUAUCCUAAUGUACUUACUGAAUGUACAUAUUGCCUAUGUGUUGUUUAUGUUUGCAAUUAUAUAUUAAAAGAUGUGUUAUA